rnacentral:rRNA from 1 species
UACGUAGGGUGCGAGCGUUAAUCGGAAUUACUGGGCGUAAAGCGUGCGCAGGCGGUUUUGUAAGCCAGAUGUGAAAUCCCCGGGCUCAACCUGGGAAUGGCAUUUGGGACUGCAAGGCUUGAGUUUGGCAGAGGAGACUGGAAUUCCUGGUGUAGCAGCGAAAUGCGUAGAUAUCAGGAGGAAUACCGAUGGCGAAGGCAGGUCUCUGGGCUAUAACUGACGCUCAUGCACGAAAGCGUGGGGAGCAAACAGG